AGAGUUUGAUCAUGGCUCAGAUUGAACGCUGGCGGCAGGCCUAACACAUGCAAGUCGAGCGGUAGCACAGAGAGCUUGCUCUCGGGUGACGAGCGGCGGACGGGUGAGUAAUGUCUGGGAAACUGCCUGAUGGAGGGGGAUAACUACUGGAAACGGUAGCUAAUACCGCAUAACGUCGCAAGACCAAAGUGGGGGACCUUCGGGCCUCAUGCCAUCAGAUGUGCCCAGAUGGGAUUAGCUAGUAGGUGGGGUAACGGCUCACCUAGGCGACGAUCCCUAGCUGGUCUGAGAGGAUGACCAGCCACACUGGAACUGAGACACGGUCCAGACUCCUACGGGAGGCAGCAGUGGGGAAUAUUGCACAAUGGGCGCAAGCCUGAUGCAGCCAUGCCGCGUGUGUGAAGAAGGCCUUCGGGUUGUAAAGCACUUUCAGCGGGGAGGAAGGCGAUAAGGUUAAUAACCUUGGCGAUUGACGUUACCCGCAGAAGAAGCACCGGCUAACUCCGUGCCAGCAGCCGCGGUAAUACGGAGGGUGCAAGCGUUAAUCGGAAUUACUGGGCGUAAAGCGCACGCAGGCGGUCUGUCAAGUCGGAUGUGAAAUCCCCGGGCUCAACCUGGGAACUGCAUUCGAAACUGGCAGGCUAGAGUCUUGUAGAGGGGGGUAGAAUUCCAGGUGUAGCGGUGAAAUGCGUAGAGAUCUGGAGGAAUACCGGUGGCGAAGGCGGCCCCCUGGACAAAGACUGACGCUCAGGUGCGAAAGCGUGGGGAGCAAACAGGAUUAGAUACCCUGGUAGUCCACGCCGUAAACGAUGUCGAUUUGGAGGUUGUGCCCUUGAGGCGUGGCUUCCGGAGCUAACGCGUUAAAUCGACCGCCUGGGGAGUACGGCCGCAAGGUUAAAACUCAAAUGAAUUGACGGGGGCCCGCACAAGCGGUGGAGCAUGUGGUUUAAUUCGAUGCAACGCGAAGAACCUUACCUGGUCUUGACAUCCACAGAACUUUCCAGAGAUGGAUUGGUGCCUUCGGGAACUGUGAGACAGGUGCUGCAUGGCUGUCGUCAGCUCGUGUUGUGAAAUGUUGGGUUAAGUCCCGCAACGAGCGCAACCCUUAUCCUUUGUUGCCAGCGGUUCGGCCGGGAACUCAAAGGAGACUGCCAGUGAUAAACUGGAGGAAGGUGGGGAUGACGUCAAGUCAUCAUGGCCCUUACGACCAGGGCUACACACGUGCUACAAUGGCAUAUACAAAGAGAAGCGACCUCGCGAGAGCAAGCGGACCUCAUAAAGUAUGUCGUAGUCCGGAUUGGAGUCUGCAACUCGACUCCAUGAAGUCGGAAUCGCUAGUAAUCGUAGAUCAGAAUGCUACGGUGAAUACGUUCCCGGGCCUUGUACACACCGCCCGUCACACCAUGGGAGUGGGUUGCAAAAGAAGUAGGUAGCUUAACCUUCGGGAGGGCGCUUACCACUUUGUGAUUCAUGACUGGGGUGAAGUCGUAACAAGGUAACCGUAGGGGAACCUGCGGUUGGAUCACCU
rnacentral:rRNA from 1 species